rnacentral:rRNA from 1 species
AUGGUGGCAGCCUCGCCUCCCUCCACCUUGCCCUCCUCCUCUUUGCAGCCCACGCGGCUGUCGGCAGCGCCGCAGGGGCGGUCGGGGUGCGCAAGUGGCGGGCAGCUGUGGUGUGUGGUGAAGAACAAUGUCGAGGAUGGCGUGCUGCAGUCAGCCAUCGGCUGGGCCUGCGGCCCCAAUGGCGGCGCCGAUUGCCGCGCGAUCCAGCAGGGCAGCACCUGCUACGAGCCGCCCACCUCCUGGUGCACGCCUCCUAUGCCUUCAACGACUACUUCCUCUGAUCCGGCGGCGCCGCCAGCCCUGCCGCCUGCGACUUCUCUGGCGCCGCCGCGCUCAUCGGCCUCAACCCUAGUAAGCACCGACUCGUCUCAGAUCCUCUCGUGA